AAGGAGAGGGCUUUACAUCCAGAGGAUAUUUUACCAUGGAAUCACAAUCCUUGGAUUCUAAACAAAGCCAGUCUCCAGGAAGGCAUUCGGCCCCUGCCUCGCUUCCGGAGCAGCUGAACUUCACACCCUUUGUCAGAGCUAUCCGAGAGAAACACCUGCGCGGCAGCCACCGCGGCCCCCGGUGCGGUCACGCGCGCCGGGUCCAGCCCGGGGCUCCGGGCUUGAGCGCGCGGCCUCCGCUGGCCGGAAGGAGACUCCGCGGUCGGGGGAGGGGGCACGGCCUCGCUGCGGAGGUGAUGGACGCGCUACCCCCAGCGCCGGCAAGGGCAUCCGGCAGCCGCUGUUUGCGCGGAGGCGGCUGGGAGCCCUAGCCCCGCCGGCUCUCGUGUAGGUUGCGGUGGGGGGGCGUUUGCGGGGACCCGCGCGGUGGGGCGCUAUCGGUAAUGGAGGCUCCGAGACGGCGCAGCUGCGCUAAGGGCGCGUUUAGGAGACGAGAUAAUAAUACCAAGAUGUCAGAAACGAAAAGCCUUCCCAGCCACAAGCGAUUUAAAGGUGUGACUUUUGAACGCAGCAGCAGUCCAAACAGCGCUUGACCGUGUGGUGCGGAGACCCGCCCAGGAGAGGACGGGGCGGCACUCACCCGCGGGCCCUCGGGCCGGCGGUCCUCGGCGCGCGCAGGUGCUCCGGCCGCUCGCGUGCUGAGCGCGCCCCGCCGGCCCCAGGCCCAGUCCACGCCCGGCUCCGGCGGCCGGAGAGCGCGACUCGCGCGGCGCGAGGAGGAGGCCCGGUCCUGCCGCAGCCUCCUCUGCGCCCGGCUCCGCGGUCGCUAUGGAAACCAGGCGCAGCCCGAAAGUCGGAGACCCCGGACGCUGGGCUGCUCAGCGACCUGCGCCUCUGCUGGGGUCCGGACCCGGCCUCACUCUGCACGAGCACUGGACUGCAGCGGCCCGCGGACUGGAAAGCAAUCUGCCAAGCCCUAAGGAAGGCAGAUGGAAGGCUGGAGAGCUCGGAAUAAAUUCCUCAGCAUUUGCCUAUUAUAAUCGGAGCAGAAAGAAGCCUUAGCGAUGAUCGCGUCUUCAAGGAUCGUUGGCUUCAGUAAGACAUACAUCAAGCUGAGUGGCGGAGAGCAGAGCGACUCCAGCAGCACCCUCAGGACAGGGCUGAUGCCUCCAAGAGCCCCGCGACUCCUGAGUGUCUCUGUUGCUGCCUGAUAAUCCCACCGUCCCUACCUCUUUUUCCUUUUUUUUUGGUAAUACCACCUUCUAUCAGAUUAUGUUAACACCUCAGGCCUUUUAAGGUCUGCAUAGUAUUCUGGGGCACAAGUGUCCUAUUUAAUAUUUAUUUUAUCUUUUGGCUUCACUGGGUCUUCGGAACUGCCAGCCCUGGCUUAGUUGCCCCUCAGCCUGUGGGAUCUUUGUUCCCCAACCAGGGAUGGAACCUGUGUCACCUGCUUUGGAGGGCGGAUUCUCGACCACUGGACCGUGGGUGCAGUCUCCCUCCCUGCCACCUUGGCUCUUCUGUUGUCCACAACCAUUAAUGAGGCUCCCAGGCUUGAAGCAACAAGCAAGCAAGUCAAUACUCUUCCCACCUGGACACCAUGGGCCUGCGGGCCUGGGAGCAGCCAGGCUCCCCCGUGGACUCUGUCAAAUCUGCUGAGACAAAGGCCAGAUGGAGGCUGGAUUUCAGGGGUCACGCAGAGAGCAUCUGCUCUGUUACAGG
ensembl:lncRNA